rnacentral:tRNA from 1 species
GGUUGUGCUUUAUUGGACUUGCUGGAUUCAUAAUCCGGGGGUCGGUGGUUCAAGUCCACCCAUCACCACCA